CAGUACCAUGUUAAAUAAAAGUAGUGAAAAUACGUUUUCUUUUCUUUUUGCAGAUCUUAGAGAGAAAGGUUUCAGCUAUUCCCAAUUCAGUGUGAUGUGAGCUGUGGAUAUCACUGAAAUCUGGUAGAGGAAUGUCAAUCCAAAAGAAAUCAAGGAAAUCAAGGAGAAAACAGCAGACAAAAUUGUCCAACACCUUUUUUUUCAAGAUGAAAAACAGUUCUGAAAACUUACUGAAAUCAUCCAGUCCUGCUGCUUUCCUUCUCAACAGAUUUUUCCUUGCUAUUAAAAAACAAUUUCAUCAUCAAUGCAAGAGACACAUUCUGAAUAUCUUUCUUAAACCUGAUAUCGUUCUAAAUAUGGUAUACACACAAGCUAUCAAACAAGAAAUCUCUGCUUUAUGAAGUUUAC
rnacentral:lncRNA from 1 species